rnacentral:rRNA from 1 species
CUCAGCUGGGAGAGCAGGACACACCCGUUCCCAUUCCGAACACGACGGUUAAGACCUGAGCGGUCGAUGGUACUUGGUGGGAAGCUGCCUGGGAGAGUAGAUGGUCGCCGGAA